GUCGAACGCUUCUUUCCUCCCGAGUGCUUGCACUCAAUUGGAAAGAGGAGUGGCGGACGGGUGAGUAACACGUGGGUAACCUACCCAUCAGAGGGGGAUAACACUUGGAAACAGGUGCUAAUACCGCAUAACAGUUUAUGCCGCAUGGCAUAAGAGUGAAAGGCGCUUUCGGGUGUCGCUGAUGGAUGGACCCGCGGUGCAUUAGCUAGUUGGUGAGGUAACGGCUCACCAAGGCCACGAUGCAUAGCCGACCUGAGAGGGUG
rnacentral:rRNA from 1 species